GAUCAUGGCUCAGAUUGAACGCUGGCGGCAUGCCUUACACAUGCAAGUCGAACGGCAGCGGACCUUCGGGUGCCGGCGAGUGGCGAACGGGUGAGUAAUGCAUCGGAACGUGCCAUUGAGUGGGGAUAACGUAGCGAAAGUUGCGCUAAUACCGCAUAUUCUGUGAGCAGGAAAGCAGGGGACCGCAAGGCCUUGCGCUCUUUGAGCGGCCGAUGUCAGAUUAGCUAGUUGGUGAGGUAACGGCUUACCAAGGCGACGAUCUGUAGCGGGUCUGAGAGGAUGAUCCGCCACACUGGAACUGAGACACGGUCCAGACUCCUACGGGAGGCAGCAGUGGGGAAUUUUGGACAAUGGGGGCAACCCUGAUCCAGCCAUGCCGCGUGAGUGAAGAAGGCCUUCGGGUUGUAAAGCUCUUUCGGCCGGGAAGAAAUCGCAUGGGUUAAUACCCUGUGUGGAUGACGGUACCGGCAUAAGAAGCACCGGCUAACUACGUG
rnacentral:rRNA from 1 species